CGGGGGUCCAUUUAGACUCGAGUCAUGUCGGAGUACGGCUGAACGAUAUCGGCCAAAAUGAUCAUAUCUUUGUCCUUUUAGGUGGAAAAGCUAUACUUUGUAUAAGUUUUACUUUUUACAAAGUGGGCUAAAUGUGCUGUAGUGGAGUGAAAACAACACAAUUCACAAAGAUGCAUCAAUGUCACUUUUAAUAUAAAAGACUAAUUAAAACAAAUACAAUAAUGCAAGCACCUUGACCUAAAUAAAAACACCGGUUUCCACUUUUCACUGUUUUAAUCCUUUGGGAAGUUUCAUUUCUUUGAUGUGGGGAUACAUGAGAUGUCAAUUCAGAGGCAGGUGGUGGUCAGAACACCCGGGCAGACUGCAGCAGCGGUCCCCAACCCCUGGGCCACGGACCAGUACCGGUCCAUGAGUCGUUUGGUACCGGGCUGCAAGAGUUGAGGCUUGGUGUGAAAUUUAUGGUUUUCAGGGUUUUUAACGGUUUUUAUCGUUAUUUUUUAUCCUCUUUAUCAUUAACUCGGUUUCCCUGGGUCUUUUCCCGUGUGUUAUGAAUAAAUCUUUUAUUUUUGCUACCGGUACUGUUUUUUUUGUUUGUUUUUUUGUAUUUAACCGCAACACCUUAGAGGCCGGUCCAUGAAAAUAUUGUCAGACAUAAACCGGUCUGUGGUGCAAGAAAGGUUGGGGACGGCUGGACUGGAGGACUGACCAACACCAGUCAUUUAUUUCAGUGUGGGGAUCAGGAGCAAUAUUUUGUACUACCUAAAAAAAGUUGCAGAAUGUUUUUCCCUACUUUAGCUUCCUUUCCAGAGGAGAACUCCGGCUCUCAUACUGCAGAACACAUGAGUCGCUUGUCCGUCAUUGCUUGAACUGUUUAUUUGUUUUACAGUGUGACCAUGGGGUCAACUGUUCCCCUAUAUUGUAAGGUCAAACUACUGUUUGAAGUCCUGUGGCUCUUGAUGUUUUCUUGAUGGUUGCCACAUCGCAUUCAGUAAGUAGUGAGUAAAAGAAGUGCUUUAAGCACUGACCAAAACGGGUUAGAUGUUUAUCAAAAAUAACUGUAUUGUCUUUUCGUAGGACGUCUUUAAAAGUUUAUUUGUGCAUUUUAAAAAGUCAACAUGCCGCCGCGUUUUAUUUUGGAGACAACCUCAGGACAGAUUGUCAAAAUCUGUCACCUCCAUGUCGAGGGAGCUUCCCUAACUCGCCUUCCAGUGUGGCCGAGAUUACCUUUAUGUUCUAAAGCCAUGUAGAUACUGUGAUUCUCAGUGCCGUGAAUACCAGAG
ensembl:lncRNA